rnacentral:rRNA from 1 species
AUUGAACGCUGGCGGCAGGCUUAACACAUGCAAGUCGAGCGGGGGAAGGUAGCUUGCUACCGGACCUAGCGGCGGACGGGUGAGUAAUGCUUAGGAAUCUGCCUAUUAGUGGGGGACAACAUCUCGAAAGGGAUGCUAAUACCGCAUACGUCCUACGGGAGAAAGCAGGGGAUCUUCGGACCUUGCGCUAAUAGAUGAGCCUAAGUCGGAUUAGCUAGUUGGUGGGGUAAAGGCCUACCAAGGCGACGAUCUGUAGCGGGUCUGAGAGGAUGAUCCGCCACACUGGGACUGAGACACGGCCCAGACUCCUACGGGAGGCAGCAGUGGGGAAUAUUGGACAAUGGGGGGAACCCUGAUCCGGCCAUGCCGCGUGUGUGAAGAAGGCCUUAUGGUUGUAAAGCACUUUAAGCGAGGAGGAGGCUACUUUAGUUAAUACCUAGAGAUAGUGGACGUUACUCGCAGAAUAAGCACCGGCUAACUCUGUACCAGCAGCCGCAGUAA